rnacentral:rRNA from 2 species
AAGAUGAAUCAAAGAAGGUAAUAAUCCUGUAGUCGAAAAUGUUGUCUCUCUUGAGUGGAUCCUGAGUACGACGGAGCACGUGAAAUUCCGUCGGAAUCUGGGAGGACCAUCUCCUAAGGCUAAAUACUCUCUAGUGACCGAUAGUGAACCAGUACCGUGAGGGAAAGGUGAAAAGCACCCCGGAAGGGGAGUGAAAUAGAACCUGAAACCGUGUGCUUACAAGUAGUCAGAGCCCGUUAAUGGGUGAUGGCGUGCCUUUUGUAGAAUGAACCGGCGAGUUACGAUUUGAUGCAAGGUUAAGCAGUAAAUGUGGAGCCGUAGCGAAAGCGAGUCUGAAUAGGGCGUUUAGUAUUUGGUCGUAGACCCGAAACCAGGUGAUCUACCCUUGGUCAGGUUGAAGUUCAGGUAACACUGAAUGGAGGACCGAACCGACUUACGUUGAAAAGUGAGCGGAUGAACUGAGGGUAGCGGAGAAAUUCCAAUCGAACCUGGAGAUAGCUGGUUCUCUCCGAAAUAGCUUUAGGGCUAGCCUCAAGUGAUGAUUAUUGGAGGUAGAGCACUGUUUGGACGAGGGGCCCCUCUCGGGUUACCGAAUUCAGACAAACUCCAAAUGCCAAUUAAUUUAACUUGGGAGUCAGAACAUGGGUGAUAAGGUCCGUGUUCGAAAGGGAAACAGCCCAGACCACCAGCUAAGGUCCCAAAAUAUAUGUUAAGUGGAAAAGGAUGUGGCGUUGCCCAGACAACUAGGAUGUUGGCUUAGAAGCAGCCAUCAUUUAAAGAGUGC